GGAAACUGAGUCUGCAAGAGUUUAAUAAGGAAGAGAAGCAGAGGCAUAGGUGAGAGAAUAGCAAUAAACCAGGGAUGAGGGGAGCCCUGGUGACAAAGAGGACACUGGAUUCUCUCUGUGGUCAAGGAGAUGGCAGUGAGAGGGGUAAAUUCACUUAGUUACCCAACUUCCUCUUAGGAGAGUACAGUGUCAAGGGUGACAAGCCUCACCUGGCUGAGAGUGAGGUUUGUUUGGGCCCCAUUGUCAUAGCAACAAGGGAAUGUUUGGUAACAGAGCCAGUGACUUCACAGAAGCUGGUCUUAAUUCCACAUUUCUGAAGCUCAGGGAAGAGCAGAGCCAGCCAGGAGAGAAUGUGGAGGCAGAGGAAGACAAUAGUUCCCUUGGAAGAGCUGUGACUACGAGAAAAGUACUGUCCUGUCAUAGAACUUCUGGAAAGAGGAAAAGAACAUCACUGACCUUCAGAGACAAAUAGAUCCAAUCUUGACUCAGUCAGUAUUUUUAUUUUUAUUCUCUUCUCUCUUCUGUUGAGAGAUUUG
rnacentral:lncRNA from 1 species